rnacentral:rRNA from 1 species
GCGGAGGAUCAUUAGUGAAUAUAGGACGUCCAACUUAACUUGGAGUCCGAACUCUCACUUUCUAACCCUGUGCACUUGUUUGGGAUAGUAACUCUCGCAAGAGUGCGAACUCCUAUUCACUUAUAAAUACAAAGUCUAUGAAUGUAUUAAAUUUUAUAACAAAAUAAAACUUUCAACAACGGAUCUCUUGGCUCUCGCAUCGAUGAAGAACGCAGCGAAAUGCGAUAAGUAAUGUGAAUUGCAGAAUUCAGUGAAUCAUCGAAUCUUUGAACGCACCUUGCGCUCCAUGGUAUUCCGUGGAGCAUGCCUGUUUGAGUGUCAUGAAUACUUCAACCCUCCUCUUUCUUAAUGAUUGAAGAGGUGUUUGGUUUCUGAGCGCUGCUGGCCUUUACGGUCUAGCUCGUUCGUAAUGCAUUAGCAUCCGCAAUCGAACUUCGGAUUGACUUGGCGUAAUAGACUAUUCGCUGAGGAAUUCUAGUCUUCGGACUAGAGCCGGGUUGGGUUAAAGGAAGCUUCUAAUCAGAAUGUCUACAUUUUAAGAUUAGAUCUCAAAUCAGGUAGGACUACCCGCUGAACUUAAGCAUAUCAAUAAGCGGAGGAA